rnacentral:rRNA from 1 species
GACGAACGCUGGCGGCGUGCUUAACACAUGCAAGUCGAACGGAAAGGCCCUGCUUGCAGGGUACUCGAGUGGCGAACGGGUGAGUAACACGUGGGGGAUCUGCCCUGCACUUCGGGAUAAGCCUGGGAAACUGGGUCUAAUACCGGAUAGGAGUCAUUUUUAGUGUGAUGGUUGGAAAGUUUUUUCGGUGUUGGAUGAGCUCGCGGGCUAUCAGCUUGUUGGUGGGGUAAUGGCCUACCAAGGCGGCGACGGGUAGCCGGCCUGAGAGGGUGGACGACCACAUUGAGACUGAGAGACGGCCCAGACUCCUACGGGAGGGAGAAGGGGGGAAUAUUGCACAAGCGGCGCAGGACUGGUGCAGAGACGCCGCGUGGGGGAUGACGGACUUCGGGUGGUAAACUCCUUUCGCUAGGGACGAAGCUUUUUGUGACGGUACCUAGAUAAGAAGCACCGGCUAACUACGUG